rnacentral:rRNA from 1 species
AGAGUUUGAUCCUGGCUCAGGACGAACGCUGGCGGCGUGCCUAAUACAUGCAAGUAGAACGCUGAAGAGAGGAGCUUGCUCUUCUUGGAUGAGUUGCGAACGGGUGAGUAACGCGUAGGUAACCUGCCUUGUAGCGGGGGAUAACUAUUGGAAACGAUAGCUAAUACCGCAUAACAAUGGAUGACACAUGUCAUUUAUUUGAAAGGGGCAAUUGUUCCACUACAAGAUGGACCUGCGUUGUAUUAGCUAGUAGGUGAGGUAAUGGCUCACCUAGGCGACGAUACAUAGCCGACCUGAGAGGGUGAUCGGCCACACUGGGACUGAGACACGGCCCAGACUCCUACGGGAGGCAGCAGUAGGGAAUCUUCGGCAAUGGGGGCAACCCUGACCGAGCAACGCCGCGUGAGUGAAGAAGGUUUUCGGAUCGUAAAGCUCUGUUGUAAGUCAAGAACGGGUGUGAGAGUGGAAAGUUCACACUGUGACGGUAGCUUACCAGAAAGGGACGGCUAACUACGUGCCAGCAGCCGCGGUAAUACGUAGGUCCCGAGCGUUGUCCGGAUUUAUUGGGCGUAAAGCGAGCGUAGGCGGUUUGAUAAGUCUGAAGUUAAAGGCUGUGGCUCAACCAUAGUUCGCUUUGGAAACUGUCAAACUUGAGUGCAGAAGGGGAGAGUGGAAUUCCAUGUGUAGCGGUGAAAUGCGUAGAUAUAUGGAGGAACACCGGUGGCGAAAGCGGCUCUCUGGUCUGUAACUGACGCUGAGGCUCGAAAGCGUGGGGAGCGAACAGGAUUAGAUACCCUGGUAGUCCACGCCGUAAACGAUGAGUGCUAGGUGUUGGAUCCUUUCCGGGAUUCAGUGCCGCAGCUAACGCAUUAAGCACUCCGCCUGGGGAGUACGACCGCAAGGUUGAAACUCAAAGGAAUUGACGGGGGCCCGCACAAGCGGUGGAGCAUGUGGUUUAAUUCGAAGCAACGCGAAGAACCUUACCAGGUCUUGACAUCCCGAUGCUAUUUCUAGAGAUAGAAAGUUACUUCGGUACAUCGGUGACAGGUGGUGCAUGGUUGUCGUCAGCUCGUGUCGCGAGAUGUUGGGUUAAGUCCCGCAACGAGCGCAACCCCUAUUGUUAGUUGCCAUCAUUCAGUUGGGCACUCUAGCGAGACUGCCGGUAAUAAACCGGAGGAAGGUGGGGAUGACGUCAAAUCAUCAUGCCCCUUAUGACCUGGGCUACACACGUGCUACAAUGGUUGGUACAACGAGUUGCGAGUCGGUGACGGCGAGCUAAUCUCUUAAAGCCAAUCUCAGUUCGGAUUGUAGGCUGCAACUCGCCUACAUGAAGUCGGAAUCGCUAGUAAUCGCGGAUCAGCACGCCGCGGUGAAUACGUUCCCGGGCCUUGUACACACCGCCCGUCACACCACGAGAGUUUGUAACACCCGAAGUCGGUGAGGUAACCUUUUGGAGCCAGCCGCCUAAGGUGGGACAGAUGAUUGGGGUGAAGUCGUAACAAGGUA